UGACGUUUUAUUAACAAUGACAUUUUAAUGAUGAAAGUACUCUGUCCGAAAUCACAACAGUUCCACUGCUCUUAAAAUUUAAAAUUUAACAGCGAAAUGUGUUCCGAAGGAGUAAAACGAUAUUUUAUAACGAUCAAAACAAGUGAAAUGUUUUUUCAAGACAUUAAAUAAGUAUUAACUGGACUUCACACUACGAAAUAUACAUUCCAUAUCAGAUAUUGGAAUUUCAUUCUACUUUUACACCUGGUUUGUAGGACUGCAUUACCGUUCAACGUCGACGUAGGAGGGACACUGCAAUGUCCACGAAUGAUAUAUUUUCGCAUGUUAAGUCUGUUCAAGUAGCUUUUGAUGUUGCCGUUGAUAACGCAGAUGUAAAUAGUGCUAUCGGAAUACUGUCACAGAAGCCUGUCUAUGCACUUAUGGGAAUAACAAUGUAUUUCGGGAUGCAGUUUUUAUAAGAUAUAUAUCAUCACACAUAUCCUUACUUGUAUACCAUUUUCAAUCACAAUAUAUCUGUAUAUAAAUUAUUUACUUUAGAUGUUUAAAGUUUAAGUAUAAUAGUGGAUACAUAUUAUUAAGUCAAAUUUAUUUAAAUUUAUCAUAUAAGUGGCGUUAAGCGCCAACAAUCAAUCGUCGCUCCAUUUUGAUUAAUAUACACACCUGUGGAUGAAUGAAUGAGUAGAUAUCAUUUGAUUAUGCAGUAAAAGGUAUCAUUCCAAAAGGGCACAUACCACUUAGCUUAUUAAUUUUUUUUCUACUUGUGUAGUUACAUGACAGGUAAUAUCUAUAAGUUUGUCUAUCUUUCUCAAUACAUGCAAUAAAUAUGUAAAGUAUCACAAUGUACUAUGUAUUUAAUAUACAUGUCUCUUUAGAAUUGAGAUGCAGUACAGAAACAUUUGAUGCAUAUCUUUGUAAGAAUCAUAAUGGUUGUUUGUUUUAUAGAAUGAUAAUAAUUGAAAAAAAUGAAAUACAUUUUAAAAUAUAGACAGUAUUUUAUCUCUUCAAUGGAAACAGAAUAAAAAAAAGAUUUACUAUAAAUUGACAAAACAAAAGCUGUGAGAACUAUAAAAAAAAUUGCCACUGUUUCUUUCGGUUUAAUAACCUUAUAUCGACGUCUAGCUGUCUCUGGUGAGACACAUUAGCAAUUUCCAACUAAACAAGGGAAAUUCAAUUAAUAUAGUUGGAUCCCGAAAUAAAAAAAACAAGUUUGUACAUUUUCCGAAUUUCAUUUCAAUUCGAAUGUCAUACAAUCAGAACAUUUCAAAAUAAAAUAAAACAUCAUUGAUUAUAUUGCAAAAUUACACCUCAAUAAUCAAAGAAGGUAAAUUUUUGUUUUAAUAAAACUGUGUAGAUCGAUUCGGCAUUAUUUUCCUUGCAGCUUUAUACAGUUUGUCAGUUUUUAAACGUUUAAAUAAUUGCAUUUUCAACAGCAAUGGACAGUUGUUUUCUGAAAUUUUGUUUUGUAUAGACCCUUUUGGUCUUCUCUCAUUUGUGAUAGGUGGAAUGAUUUUUCAUGUGUACAUUGGUGUAUUAAAUGUAAUUCAAAUGAAAAUAAUCUGUAUGAUUCAAAUAAAAACAUAUGGUCUUUAGAGA